CACGUAGGGUGCGAGCGUUGUCCGGAAUUAUUGGGCGUAAAGAGCUCGUAGGCGGUGUGUCGCGUCGGCCGUGAAAACCUGCAGCUUAACUGUGGGCUUGCGGUCGAUACGGGCAUCACUGGAGUUCGGCAGGGGAGACUGGAAUUCCUGGUGUAGCGGUGAAAUGCGCAGAUAUCGGGAGGAACACCAGUGGCGAAGGCGACUACCUGGCCCACUCUUGACGCUGAGGCGCGAAAGCUAGGGGAGCGAACGGG
rnacentral:rRNA from 1 species